rnacentral:rRNA from 1 species
GAUGAACGCUAGCGGCAGGCUUAAUACAUGCAAGUCGUGGGGCAGCAGGGGUGUAGCAAUACAUCUGCUGGCGACCGGCAAACGGGUGCGUAACACGUACGCAACCUUCCCGUUACUGUGGCAUAGCCCAGGGAAACUUGGAUUAAUACCACAUAUUAUAUAGAGAGGGCAUCCUUUUUAUAUCAAAGCUUCGGCGGUAACGGAUGGGCGUGCGGUUGAUUAGGUAGUUGGCGGGGUAACGGCCCACCAAGCCUACGAUCAAUAGCUGAUGUGAGAGCAUGAUCAGCCACACGGGCACUGAGACACGGGCCCGACUCCUACGGGAGGCAGCAGUAAGGAAUAUUGGGCAAUGGACGAAAGUCUGACCCAGCCAUGCCGCGUGAAGGAUUAAGGUCCUCUGGAUUGUAAACUUCUUUUCUCUGGGGCGAAAACCAGCUAUUCUUAGCUAUUUGACAGUACCAGAGGAAUAAGCACCGGCUAACCCCGUGCCAGCCGCCGCAGUAAGAC